rnacentral:rRNA from 1 species
AGAGUUUGAUCAUGGCUCAGAUUGAACGCUGGCGGCAGGCCUAACACAUGCAAGUCGAGCGGUAGCACAGAGAGCUUGCUCUCGGGUGACGAGCGGCGGACGGGUGAGUAAUGUCUGGGAAACUGCCUGAUGGAGGGGGAUAACUACUGGAAACGGUAGCUAAUACCGCAUAAUGUCGCAAGACCAAAGUGGGGGACCUUCGGGCCUCAUGCCAUCAGAUGUGCCCAGAUGGGAUUAGCUAGUAGGUGGGGUAACGGCUCACCUAGGCGACGAUCCCUAGCUGGUCUGAGAGGAUGACCAGCCACACUGGAACUGAGACACGGUCCAGACUCCUACGGGAGGCAGCAGUGGGGAAUAUUGCACAAUGGGCGCAAGCCUGAUGCAGCCAUGCCGCGUGUGUGAAGAAGGCCUUCGGGUUGUAAAGCACUUUCAGCGGGGAGGAAGGCGUUAAGGUUAAUAACCUUGGCGAUUGACGUUACCCGCAGAAGAAGCACCGGCUAACUCCGUGCCAGCAGCCGCGGUAAUACGGAGGGUGCAAGCGUUAAUCGGAAUUACUGGGCGUAAAGCGCACGCAGGCGGUCUGUCAAGUCGGAUGUGAAAUCCCCGGGCUCAACCUGGGAACUGCAUUCGAAACUGGCAGGCUAGAGUCUUGUAGAGGGGGGUAGAAUUCCAGGUGUAGCGGUGAAAUGCGUAGAGAUCUGGAGGAAUACCGGUGGCGAAGGCGGCCCCCUGGACAAAGACUGACGCUCAGGUGCGAAAGCGUGGGGAGCAAACAGGAUUAGAUACCCUGGUAGUCCACGCCGUAAACGAUGUCGAUUUGGAGGUUGUGCCCUUGAGGCGUGGCUUCCGGAGCUAACGCGUUAAAUCGACCGCCUGGGGAGUACGGCCGCAAGGUUAAAACUCAAAUGAAUUGACGGGGGCCCGCACAAGCGGUGGAGCAUGUGGUUUAAUUCGAUGCAACGCGAAGAACCUUACCUGGUCUUGACAUCCACAGAACUUNUUGGUGCCUUCGGGAACUGUGAGACAGGUGCUGCAUGGCUGUCGUCAGCUCGUGUUGUGAAAUGUUGGGUUAAGUCCCGCAACGAGCGCAACCCUUAUCCUUUGUUGCCAGCGGUUAGGCCGGGAACUCAAAGGAGACUGCCAGUGAUAAACUGGAGGAAGGUGGGGAUGACGUCAAGUCAUCAUGGCCCUUACGACCAGGGCUACACACGUGCUACAAUGGCAUAUACAAAGAGAAGCGACCUCGCGAGAGCAAGCGGACCUCAUAAAGUAUGUCGUAGUCCGGAUUGGAGUCUGCAACUCGACUCCAUGAAGUCGGAAUCGCUAGUAAUCGUAGAUCAGAAUGCUACGGUGAAUACGUUCCCGGGCCUUGUACACACCGCCCGUCACACCAUGGGAGUGGGUUGCAAAAGAAGUAGGUAGCUUAACCUUCGGGAGGGCGCUUACCACUUUGUGAUUCAUGACUGGGGUGAAGUCGUAACAAGGUAACCGUAGGGGAACCUGCGGUUGGAUCACCU